AGUGAACGCUGGCGGCAGGCCUAACACAUGCAAGUCGAACGGUAACAGGAAGCGGCUUGCUGCUUUGCUGACGAGUGGCGGACGGGUGAGUAAUGUCCGGGAAACUGCCUGAUGUAGGGGGAUAACUCCUGGAAACGGUAGCUAAUACCGCAUAACGUCCCAAGACCAAAGAGGGGGACCUUAUGGCCUCUUGCCCUCGGAUGUGCCCAGAUGGGAUUAGCUAGUAGGUGGGGUAACGGCUCACCUAGGCGACGAUCCCUAGCUGGUCUGAGAGGAUGACCAGCCACACUGGAACUGAGACACGGUCCAGACUCCUACGGGAGGCAGCAGUGGGGAAUAUUGCACAAUGGGCGCAAGCCUGAUGCAGCCAUGCCGCGUGUAUGAAGAAGGCCUUCGGGUUGUAAAGUACUUUUGGCGGGGAGGAAGGGAGUAAAGUUAAUACCUCUGCUCAUUGACGUUACCCGAAGAAGAAGCACCGGCUAACUUCGUG
rnacentral:rRNA from 1 species